rnacentral:lncRNA from 1 species
CCGUGAGUCUGAACUUAUCCAGGAGAACUACCUUGGUACGUUACAGAAAAUCUUGCAAACUGAAAUUGUUUGCUUCCGUUUCUCAUUUUCUCUCUGUAAUAAUGACUUAACCUUUUGUUCUUCAGGUACGAGAAAUGCAGCACAGAGGAAGCUCCUGGAUGAGCUGGGCAUCCCAGCUCAAGAUGCCCCGGUUGACCAAUUCACCCCUGUUGGUCGGAUGCUCUACAAGGCUCCAUCUGAUGGAAAAUGGGGCGAGCAUGAGCGUAAGUUGGUUUCACAGCCUUGGUUCGUCAUAUUCAUGUUCAUUAAAAGCCAGUUAAAUCAUUAGAAUGCUCCGUACAAGCAAAUCAUUGUUGCUGGAAGGUGUUUCACCAGAACCACUCAGUUGCUAACGCCGGUUUCCUUUCUCCUCACCCGCAGUUGACUCCAUCCUGAUCAUGGUCCGGGACGUGAAGCUGCAGCCGAACCCAGAUGAGGUCGCGGACGUGAAGUAUGUGAACCGCGAGCAGCUGAAGGAGCUGAUCCAGAAGGCGGACGCCGGCGAGGACGGCAUGAAGCUCUCCCCCUGGUUCCGGCUGAUCGUCGACAACUUCCUGAUGCGCUGGUGGGAUCAUGUGGAGAAGGGCACCCUCAGCGAGGUCGUGGACAUGGAGACCAUCCACAAGCUGAAGGAUUGAGGGGCCACUGCCAGACGUGGCUCCGGUGACCUCGUCGCCCGACGUUGCUCUGCCGCAUGCUUGUCGCUCGUACCUAAGAGGGUUUGCUCCUGUGUGCCUAUUGGCCCUAUUGAGAACCAGAUCGUUUGUUUAACCAGUGUUUAUACCUCGGCCGAAUAAACAGCAAUAAGUUUGACCUGUUCGUCCCGUCAUAUGGUGUCAUUGGUACCAAUUCCGCACUUGUAGCUUCGAUAGGAUUUCCUGUAAUUUUGAAUAGGCUGCUGCUUGUUGUAGCAGGUGGUCUGUAGCUGCGAGGAU